CUGGGGAAGGACAGGAGAGAUGAAGCUGGAAAAUCUCCCACUCCAGGAGGAAGAGUUCCAGAGACCACUCUGGGCUAAGGUCUCCUGAAGUGAGUUAGAGGAGGAAUAAAAAAGGAGAAGAAAAGAUUCUGUCCAUACCUGAUCAUUCCUGCUUCUGCCAGUGUGCAACUUCCCAGCCACGUCUCCAAUCAGCUCCUGAGGACAAGAGCAGGAUUUCUGUCAGGAUCUCUGUGUUCUAAACAGGACAAUCCACAUGAACACAUCUCCCUGCCUGGAAGGGACUCAGCUCCAGCAUCCUGCAGCCAGACUCAAAAUUCCACAUGCCAGCAGGAAAAGGAUGUUCUUACUUCACACUGAAAUGAUUCCUAGUGACUGCUCAGUCUGAAGAGGACACGAGGACAUUUAAAGGCACUCUUUAAAACAGCAAGAUGCUGCCAGCUCAGUUUUGGACAGGAUUCCAGCCUUCUCCAAGGCUUUGGCAUAAGCCAUGCUCCCCUGGAUGUCCACCUCAGAC